rfam:Xiphophorus maculatus strain JP 163 A Contig202.19, whole genome shotgun sequence.
UCCUCGUUAGUAUAGUGGUGAGUAUCCCCGCCUGUCACGCGGGAGACCGGGAUUCGAUUCCCUGACGGGGAG